AUGGGCAAGUUUGACGACAACGAGAGGAUAAUCCUCAACGUCGGGGGAACCAGGCACGAGACCUACAAAACCACCCUGAAGACCCUUCCGGGCACGCGCCUGGCCCUGCUCGCCUCGGACUCGGACAUCGACUCCGUGCUGGAUCAGCUUCAACAAGUCCCCGGCUUCAUCGAGUUCAACGCGCGGACCAACGAGUACUUCUUCGACCGCCACCCGGGCGUCUUCGCCUACGUGUUGAACUAUUACCGAACCGGGAAGCUCCACUGCCCGGCGGACGUGUGCGGACCGUUGUUCGAAGAGGAGCUCUCUUUUUGGGGCAUCGAUGAGACGGACGUGGAGCCCUGCUGUUGGAUGACCUACCGGCAGCACCGGGACGCGGAGGAGGCUCUGGACGUGUUCGAGCUCAACGUGGACAACGGGGACGAGGACGACGACGUAGGGAAGAGACUCGGCAUCGAAGACGUGGCCGCCGACGGAAACGUCAGCCAGUGGAGGAAGUGGCAGCCGGUGAUCUGGAAUCUGUUUGAGGACCCCUACUCCUCCCGGGCGGCUCGGUUUAUUGCCUUUGCAUCUUUGUUCUUCAUCCUGGUUUCCAUCACCACUUUCUGCCUGGAGACUCAUGAAGCUUUCAACAAAAUCAUCAACAAAACUGAAACACGGAAUAGCAGCGGGCCUGACUCAGGUCCUCAGUAUGAAAUAGAAACGGAUCCUGCGCUCACAUAUGUGGAGGGUGUCUGUGUCUUCUGGUUUACGAUUGAAUUCCUCGUGCGUGUGACGUUUUGCCCGGUCAAGUUGGAGUUUGUUAAAAGUGUUCUCAAUAUCAUCGACUUUGUGGCCAUCUUGCCCUUCUACUUAGAGGUUGGGCUGAGUGGCCUUUCUUCAAAGGCUGCCAAGGAUGUGUUGGGUUUCCUCAGAGUGGUGCGUUUUGUACGCAUCCUCCGUAUCUUCAAGCUAACACGUCAUUUCGUAGGGCUGAGGGUGCUUGGUCAUACUCUGCGGGCCAGCACCAAUGAAUUCCUGCUGCUAAUCAUCUUCCUGGCAUUGGGAGUGUUAAUCUUUGCCACCAUGAUAUAUUACGCUGAGAGAAUUGGUGCCAAGCCUAAUGACCCUACAGCUGCCCUCCACACAAAGUUCAAGAACAUCCCCAUUGGAUUUUGGUGGGCUGUGGUAACCAUGACAACACUAGGCUAUGGUGACAUGUAUCCAGAGACCUGGUCAGGCAUGGUGGUGGGAGCGUUGUGUGCUUUAGCUGGUGUACUAACGAUAGCCAUGCCUGUGCCCGUUAUUGUCAAUAACUUUGGAAUGUACUACUCUCUGGCCAUGGCCAAGCAAAAGCUGCCUAAGAAGAGGAAGAAACACAUCCCUCAGGCAGUGCAAGGAGGUUCCCCGACCUACUACAAAGCGGAUCUCAACGCCACCUGCAACAGCACCCAAGGUGACCUGUGCCACGUCAAAGGGAGCAGGGUACUAGAACACAACUGUUCAGUUUUGUCAGCGGACUGCAGUGGGGGCAGUGACCUCAGCUUGUCUCAAGAGGAGCGGGUGCCCAUGCGCAGGUCCAGCACCAUAGAACAGGACCGCCGGAGUGGGGGCACAUGUUUCCUCCUUGCUGCUAGUGACUACACCUGCCCUGCAGAUGGAGGGAUAAGAAAAUCAGGUAACUGCAAGUGCUAUGAGAAAUCCCGGAGUUUAAACAACAUAGCAGGCACUGUCGGUAACACCCUGAGGUUGUCUCCUGUGACCUCGCCCUAUGGAUCACCCUGCCCCCUGCGCCGCUCUCGUUCCCCUAUCCCAUCCAUCCUGUGAAACAUCCAGUUCUUGGCUGCUUCGGCCCCAAACCACGCCAUCACAAGCCCUGACAGAACACCCAGCUUUGGCGUGAACUCUACUCUUGAUGUGGCUAAAUGAUAAGUAGCUCACGUUGCACCAAUCUGUACAAGUUGUUGUCAUACUGAUGAAGGUACAUGUGCUUAGCUAACAACCCUAACUCGAUUGUUCUGCUGUGAGUUCUCUUUGGUUUGAUAUUGUACUUUGAGACUUGCAAUAAAAAAAAAACAGGUGGCUUCAUAAUUAGCAGCCAUAUACAUUCAAUUCAUAUGAAUAUUCAGGGAUAUUGUAUGUUUAGAAACCAUGAAAAUGAUGUGCUUCCACAAAGAAAGAAUAAAGAAAGAGUGAGAGAUGUCAGGUACUGUUAACUACAUACGACUGUGACUUUAUGUGAAGGUCUGUUUCACGGGGACAUGGAUGGAGGACUGAUCUGUCAGAACUUAACUUUCAGCUCACAAAAGCACACGUACAGUCUUGUCUCUUUUCACCAGCGGCUGAGCCUGCUCAUGUGUAUGCACGGAUCAUUGGGUAGCCAUCUUUGGUGAACAAUGUGGCAUGGAAAAGGAGACAGACAUGAAUUUUUAUUCAAAGUUUUGAUCAUUCAAAUGGGUUUAUGUUUUUUUUUUCUUCGCCAACAAAGCUGUUGUGUUUUUGGUUGUUUGCUAACAGAUAACUGCAAAGAGGUGGUCUUUACUGGUUUCACACAAGCAGAGAGCAGCGUUCUAUCUUAAUGGCUUGAAGGAAGGAACGGCGGAGGCAGAAAGUGGAGGAACCAUUUUGGAGCCAUAACGCCACCCCCAAAGGACAAUUUGGAGGAGGCCGUGCAGAAACUGAUGACUCAAAGCCUCCCAGCUGGAGCUUCAGCCAGCUUGGGAGCAACUUAAUGGUCCUUAAGAAUUCUGGGAAGACUUUCACACUUUCCUGAGUUCUCCUUUCUUUUGUCUGUUCCUGUUUUGGAACUGGAUGAGAAAAAAACAGGACAAGAAACUGUCUGUGAUGAACGUCGCUCUUGUAAAUACAAAAGAAAAAAUUACAGCACAACUGGGCCAGGCUGCUCUGUUCACACAUCUGUCUUUUGAUGGCAAGUCAGGUAUCAAGAUGGUUGGUUGCACCGUGACACUUAAUCACUUCUCUUGCUGUGGUGUCUCCUCUCGCAAUAAGUGUUUCAAGAUGUAACAGUUGAGGCACUUUGUGUUUUAAAAAUGGAGUCAAUUCAUAUAGAAAGCUGCUUAUGGUUUAAACAGUGUAGAGACGAGAUGAAUAAAUCUGACACCAUGGACUAAUGCCUUUGUUUUUAUUGGUAACUUCAGUAGGUUAUUUGCUCUAAAUGUGUGUGGGUGUGUGUGUGUGUGUCCUAAAACUGCAGGUUGAGAUCUGUAGUUUGAAAGACCGGGUCAUGGACCUUUGAGUGGAGCUGAUGCUGAAUCUUCCAGUUAGUUUUAGCACAAACCUGAAUAAGACAGAACCCCCCACCCACCCGUGUUGCAGCUGCCACUGCAGAAGUCCCUUUCCUCGUUCAUUUACCAUGCAACUUACCCUCGAUAGUGCUGCAGUUUUGUUCUCUUUGCAAACCAAACUAUUCUUGCCAGAAUAAUCCUCAUAAGUCCUGGUGGCUAAAAAGAACCACACACACACACAACUGCAUGACUUGAUUCUUCCAAACCUUUUUUCCCCAUGCGGGAAUGGAGCAAAAGUGUAGCAGAAAUUAAUCAAGUCUUACAGUAGGACUUCUGCAGCGGCUACACCUGCACAGUAGCAACCCCUCAAACCCAAACAAUCAAAUCGGAUUUGCAAUAAGCACCCGAAAACAAAAUGCACCGAUUCACACUGUGAUUUCAGCAGCCCGUUUAAAACAAAACAAACAAACAAAAAGGGCAGAAGAAAAAGCUGCUGGGCAGGACUCACAAGUGGCACAACUCAUGUGGCAUGUUGGUAGCGACCUGAACAGUUUUAGGCUGGCUGUUCACCCUGUACCCACAAUCCUCUCUGUGUAGUAAACAUGCUGCUUUACUCUUUUGAUUUGUCAAAGAGAAACUUGUUCUUGUGUAUUUCUAGGCUGAUGUUGUAAGUAGCAAGCAAAAAGGUGUUUAUUUUUUUGAAUCCAGAAAUGUAUUUUUGUGUCUUUCUGUAAAACCCAUGGUAGUCUGAUGCUGUGCUUCUCCACCGUGUCUUCGAGCUGUCAGGCUUUUGAUCCCAGAUUAUGUUUUGUAUGUUUUACUGUGGGGAAAAUUCUAGUUUUAACUGUAUAUCUGUGGAGCCUUUUGUUGUCAUUUUAAAGUGCAUGCUGACAAAAAAAAAACACAUUAUGUCAAACUGUAAAAUAUAAUGACCUGUUGUAUAUCACACUAUGUAUAGAGUCAAGGUAAAUGCUAUGUGAGAGUUUCACAUAAACUAUUUAUCUUUUA